GAUGCCCUUUGGGGGCGUGCUUAACACAUGCAAGUCGAGCGAAGCGGCUGAAUUGAUUCUUCGGAUGAUUUUCAGUUGACUGAGCGGCGGACGGGUGAGUAACGCGUGGGUGACCUGCCCCAUACCGGGGGAUAACAGCUGGAAACGGCUGCUAAUACCGCAUAAGCGCACAGAGCUGCAUGGCUCGGUGUGAAAAACUCCGGUGGUAUGGGAUGGGCCCGCGUCUGAUUAGGCAGUUGGCGGGGUAACGGCCCACCAAACCGACGAUCAGUAGCCGGCCUGAGAGGGCGACCGGCCACAUUGGGACUGAGACACGGCCCAAACUCCUACGGGAGGCAGCAGUGGGGAAUAUUGCACAAUGGGGGAAACCCUGAUGCAGCGACGCCGCGUGAGCGAAGAAGUAUUUCGGUAUGUAAAGCUCUAUCAGCAGGGAAGAUAAUGACGGUACCUGACUAAGAAGCCCCGGCUAACUACGUGCCAGCAGCCGCGGUAAUACGUAGGGGGCAAGCGUUAUCCGGAUUUACUGGGUGUAAAGGGAGCGUAGACGGCAAGGCAAGUCUGAUGUGAAAACCCAGGGCUUAACCCUGGGACUGCAUUGGAAACUGUCCGGCUCGAGUGCCGGAGAGGUAAGCGGAAUUCCUAGUGUAGCGGUGAAAUGCGUAGAUAUUAGGAAGAACACCAGUGGCGAAGGCGGCUUACUGGACGGUAACUGACGUUGAGGCUCGAAAGCGUGGGGAGCAAACAA
rnacentral:rRNA from 1 species